rnacentral:rRNA from 1 species
AACGAACGCUGGCGGCGUGGAUAAGACAUGCAAGUUGAACGGUUGAUACAGGGUAGCAAUAUUCUGUGUCAGCAGUGGCGUAAGGGUGCUUAACACGUGGGUAAUCUGCCGCGAAGUGUGGGAUAACUCGCUGAAAGGCGAGCUAAUACCGCAUGUGAUUUUCCUGAGGCAUCUCAGGGAAUUCAAACAUGGGUCGCAAGGCCUGUGGUUUCGCGAUGAGCCCGCGGCCUAUCAGCUAGUUGGCGGGGUA